AUGCGUAUGCAGUACUGGUCCAUUGAGGGGGUGCAGGAGGUGUUCGGCGACAAGGUGUGCGUCGACCGCCUCGACAGCUGCACGCUGGAGCGUGGCCACACCAAGACCUUUGCAUGCUGGGUCUGGCUGUGGGACAUGGUGUUCAUCCCCACAAGGCACACCUACUGGAAGCUGCCCCGCGGCAUGGGGAGGGUCGAGGAGAUGGAGGGAUUCUCGCUGCCGGACCGCAGGGUGGCUCCUCCUCCGGGCGUGGCGCGGUACGACCUCCUCAUCCACGUCGACCGCAUUGAAGACUGGACGCCAAGCUCACCAUCCUCCUCGCACUCGGCCAGAGCGGUUUUCCAUCAUCCGGCUCUGACGAUGAUGAUGCGCUGCCACACAUCCACCCGGAGACCUAGACCAUGCACGUUGAGGACGGGUAGCGCGACGAGCAUCACAAGCGGCUGGCUCGUGCGUCGGUGGCGGACACGGGCUGCUGGGGCAUGCCUCUUGGUGGCCCUAGGCACGACCAGGACAAUGAUGGAGCUGGAAGGAGGACCUGGAAGGACGCGAUUUUGGGGCGCAAUCACGGCCACCACGAACAGGGCGAGGCUUCCUCCAAGGAGCGCCCCAACCGUAGCCGCUCCCCCCCCCCAGCGCAUCACUGCUCCAGCAGCUCCAAGGGAAACUGGCAUCAUGGUGCACGCCACAGACGUAAGAAGUGCAGCGCCAAGGAGCACCGCCUGCCUAGCCCUCCCCUCACACGCAUGGCGACGACAUCGAGCAGGUCUUCUCUAA
rnacentral:rRNA from 1 species